GAGGUGACUUCAUCAAUGCUCCUACCCCGAGUUCUUGAGACAGACCUGGACCGAUCCCCUACCUUGGGUGUGCACUGUUGGGAGAACGAGGGGCGGAGGGUCCGAAUCUCCUCUCAGCCUUUAAGCUCACCUGGUCAGAAUCCUUGGAUGAGCCUGUGGGACCGUUCCUCCUAGCCCUGUGGUUUGGAACCAGUGGCUUUGGGACUGUAAGAGGAUGGACAAAGGUAGUAUGAGGCCGGGACAGCUCCCCAAAUGCUCGGGCGCCAAGCAUCUGCUGAUUCCACUCUGUGCCUGGCACUUGUGUCUUUCGGUCCUGGCUAGGCCUUGCCACCUCCCCCUGGGCCAGCACCACCCAUGUACCUGUCGGCAGAGCCACAGUUGACUGACUUGCUGUUGAGCUGCUGCUCUUUAGCACGGCUGCAUUUUGAUGGCAGAGGGAGCAGUUAUGCCCAGAGCCCAGCGUGUCGGCAUCACCAGUCUGACCUGAGCACCAUGUGCUGCACGACAUGACACGUGGCACCGGGGGAACUGCCCAGCGUGGAAGGUCUGGGCCAGGUCUGAGCCCAGAUGGGAUCUGGAUGGCCAAGGAACUCUACCUUAAAACCUCAAGUGUCAAGGAGGCAGGGGAGGGGCCAAGAGGGCUGGCAGGGGAAGGGGGCUGGGGAGGGGUCCCAUUUGCAGAGGCUCUAGGAUCUUAGGAGGCCCGAAUCCACCAUUUCUCUCUUGCUAGAUUCUCAGGGGCUGCUAGAUUCAUCCCUGAUGGCAUCAGGCACUGCCAGCCGCUCAGAGGAUGAGGAGUCACUGGCAGGGCAGAAGCGAGCCUCCUCCCAGGCCUUGGGCACCAUCCCUAAACGGAGAAGCUCCUCCAGGUUCAUCAAGAGGAAGAAGUUCGAUGAUGAGCUGGUGGAGAGCAGCCUGGCAAAAUCUUCUACCCGGGCAAAGGGGGCCAGUGGGGUGGAACCAGGGCGCUGUUCGGGGAGUGAACCCUCCUCCAGUGAGAAGAAGAAGGUAUCCAAAGCCCCCAGCACUCCUGUGCCACCCAGCCCAGCCCCAGCCCCUGGACUCACCAAGCGCGUGAAGAAGAGUAAACAGCCACUUCAGGUGACCAAGGAUCUGGGCCGCUGGAAGCCUGCAGAUGACCUCCUGCUCAUAAAUGCUGUGUUGCAGACCAACGACCUGACCUCCGUCCACCUGGGCGUGAAAUUCAGCUGCCGCUUCACCCUUCGGGAGGUCCAGGAGCGUUGGUACGCCCUGCUCUACGAUCCUGUCAUCUCCAAGUUGGCCUGUCAGGCCAUGAGGCAGCUGCACCCAGAGGCUAUUGCAGCCAUCCAGAGCAAGGCCCUGUUUAGCAAGGCUGAGGAGCAGCUGCUGAGCAAAGUGGGAUCGACCAGCCAGCCCACCUUGGAGACCUUCCAGGACCUGCUGCACAGACACCCUGAUGCCUUCUACCUGGCCCGUACCGCGAAGGCCCUGCAGGCCCACUGGCAGCUCAUGAAGCAGUAUUACCUGCUGGAGGACCAGACAGUGCAGCCGCUGCCCAAAGGGGACCAAGUGCUGAACUUCUCUGAUGCAGAGGACCUGAUUGAUGACAGUAAGCUCAAGGACAUGCGAGAUGAGGUCCUGGAACAUGAGCUGAUGGUGGCUGACCGGCGCCAGAAGCGAGAGAUUCGGCAGCUGGAACAGGAACUGCAUAAGUGGCAGGUGCUAGUGGACAGCAUCACAGGCAUGAGCUCUCCGGACUUCGACAACCAGACACUGGCAGUGCUGCGGGGCCGCAUGGUGCGGUACCUGAUGCGCUCGCGUGAGAUUACCCUGGGCAGAGCAACCAAGGAUAACCAGAUUGAUGUGGACCUGUCUCUGGAGGGUCCGGCCUGGAAGAUAUCCCGGAAACAAGGUGUCAUCAAGCUGAAGAACAACGGUGAUUUCUUCAUUGCCAAUGAGGGUCGACGGCCCAUCUACAUCGAUGGACGGCCGGUGCUCUGUGGCUCCAAAUGGCGCCUCAGCAACAACUCUGUGGUGGAGAUCGCCAGCCUGCGAUUCGUCUUCCUUAUCAACCAGGACCUCAUUGCCCUCAUCCGGGCUGAGGCUGCCAAGAUCACACCACAGUGAGGAGUGGUGGCAGGACUCGUGGGCCCUCUCCGGCCUGUUUCCCCUGCCACUCCAGCCCCCUUGAGCUGGGAACUCAGGCUCCUGGAAAAACCUGGGCAGUGGGAGGCUCAGCUGCGGGCCAUUGAUUUGAGCCUUUGAGGGAGGAUAGGGCUGGCCUUUGUGAAGCCAGCAGAGGCUGAGAACUUCAGGCUUCCCUAGAUCCAGAGCCCCUCCCCAUCUUCCUCUCUCUAAAAACAACCCUACCCCCCAUUGCCACCUUCACUCCUGUGUCUCCAGCUGAUUAGCCUCAGACUCUUAUUGUUUUUCUUUUGUAAAUAAAAAGCACCAGGUUCCAAA
rnacentral:sRNA from 1 species